rnacentral:lncRNA from 1 species
GGACGCAUGUAGAGUAAAAACAAACUUCAGCCAUCGAACCAUUUGUGAGGCACUGUAUGGGUUGCCUUGCAAUCUCUUUGUAAGCUCAUGCAGCAGUGGAAUGACAGCGUGUAUAGGCAUUCUGGCUACUGUGUUCUUUAUUAAAGUUUCCUUUCUUGUGGAAAGCACUUUAUUUAAGAUAUCUUCAUCGUUGCUUUCCAAGCCCUGAACCAAAAGCACUGCAAAGCUAUCUGUUUGUGGAAGGCCACCUGGAGUUUUUACUUUGCUCACAUCGAUAUCCAAUGCCCCUAGGCGCUCCUCAAUGCUGUCCUCUGUCUCUCCUGGUUUCCUCUUGCUUUUCUUUUUCUCCUUUCCCGAGGACGGAGUUUUAACAGCUGCACUAUGUCCUGGAAUGCCAGGCACUAGAACUUUGGUGUCUGAGUUCACAACUGGCGUCCUCACCUUUGUUACAGCAUCAUCUGUUUUAAGCGCCAACGCUUUCUGGACGUCCCUUAUCAAACAUAUGUGGGAUUCGCUGGUGUUCAAAGACACUUUCUCUAUGAUGGGCUGUAAGGUGUUUCCAUACACAAGCAGCAGAGACUGUUUGUCUGUGCAAAACGCAGCCGCUAAAAUAGGGACUGGUUUUGGCGUGGAGUCUCCAUCAUUUCCAGGUGUUGCUAUCUGGAUAGUACAGUUUGAUGUUAAGGGUUUUUUGCAGUAGCCAUUUAAGAUGUGUUCAAAUAAAUGCAACUGCCCAUCUCUGCAAACAACUGCUAACUUCACAGGCUCUUCUUUGAGUUCUGACACGGUCAGGUCAAUAAACGUUGGUUCAUCUGUUACCGUGAAAGACAUCACAGCAUUCUUUUCUUUCCUAUCUGAUCUGAUCUGCCAAACACUCAGUAACCGGUCGUGUAUAGCCCCAGACAAGAAAUAAAGUCCUGUAAUUCCAUCAAAGGGUUUGUUUUCGUUCAUAGGUUUCACUGUGGUAAACAUUAAUGAUGACACUGAUGUAGCAUGGCCUGUGAAAUGUCUGUAGACUUCUUUGGUCUCCAGGUCCCACAGUUUUAUAGUUCUACCGGCUGACAGCAGCAUUUUGCCAUCUGGACUGAUGCACAAAGAGCUGACACUGCUAUUGUCACCUUUCCACUUGCACUUUACUUUGCAGGUCUGUGUGUUCCAUUCCACAAUGUGUUUGUCUUCUGAACAGCUAUACAAACAGCAGUUGUCCUGAUGCCACCUCACACAGUUUAUUCUACUGUCAUGACCGCCAUCUAGCUUGCUUUGUAAUUCUCCUUUUACUGUGCUGUACAACAAAAUGCUACCAACUGCUGUGCCAAUAGCCAGGAUAUCUAACUGCUUGUCCACCUCUGCAGCUUCAGACUUCCGUUUUUUCCUCUGGGGGCCAUCCU